CAGAUCGAAGAUAACAAAGAAAGGGGUAUCUACUUUCAAUCACGUGGUCACUUCAGGCUGCCAUAUUGCGAAUCCCUGCCCAGUAGGAGAAACUCCACUGUCUCCCCCUGUUCACAGUCGCGCCUGACGGAAAUGAGAGAAGAUGACAUUACAACGGAGUGUGUUUCUGGAAGAGGGCGCUAUUAUCAAGGAACGGUGAAUGUCACCAAAUCAGGGAUUGCCUGUCAGAGAUGGGACUCGCAGGAACCCCACAAACAUCAUCGCCCCCCGAUGGUUUUCCCAGAAGUCCUGAACUCAGAAAACUUCUGUCGAAAUGCUGGAGGUGAAGAACCGAGCCCAUGGUGCUAUACAAUGGAUCCAAUGGUCCGAUGGCAACACUGUGAUAUUCCAAAGUGUGAAAACGCCACCUUGAAAGAAGAAACCAAAACUGAGCUGUUGGACACAUUUGUACCUCCAGAAGAACCCGUCUUCACCCCUUCGUUCAUCCUCAUCGUAUGCGCUGUUAGUCUGGUAGCUGUGGUCAUUAUCUUGACCAUUCUUCUGUGUUGCAGACGUCUUCGUAAGAUCCACAAAGGCUAUAACGCCACUCCUACUGCAGACGUAGAAAUUGAUUUGGACAAACUUCCGUCCAAUAUGUCUUAUCACAAAACAAAUGUACAGCUAAAUCCUAAACUGGAGAGCUUAGAAUACCCUCGUAACGACAUUAUCUACAUCCGGGACAUUGGACAAGGAGCUUUUGGGCGGGUCUUUCAGGCCAAGGCAUCAGCUCUGGUUAAGGAGGAAGAGUUUACUAUGAUUGCUGUCAAAAUGCUCAAGGAGGAAGCUACAGAAGAUAUUCAGAAAGAUUUUGAACGAGAAGCGUGCCUAUUGGCUGAUUUCGACCACCCAAAUAUUGUCAAGUUACUGGGAGUCUGUGCCAUUGGAAAACCCAUGUGCUUGUUGUUUGAAUUCAUGGGGAAAGGGGAUUUGAAUGAAUUCCUCCGAUCUUGUGCUCCGAGUAACUACAUUGUUCGAACUCCAAACGGUGACAUGUUUAGUGACGUUAGGCUUAGUCAUCUCGACCUUCUUAACCUCGCCAAACAAGUUGCUGCUGGAAUGGUCUACCUAUCUGAACGGAAGUUUGUCCACCGUGACCUAGCCACCAGGAAUUGUCUAGUCAAUAAUGACAUGGUUGUGAAAAUCUCGGACUUUGGACUCUCUCAGAAAAUUUACACCUCUAACUACUACAAAGGUAACGAGCACGAUGCCAUUCCAAUCCGAUGGAUGCCCAUAGAGUCCAUUCUCUUCAAUAAGUUCACAGUUGAGUCUGACAUUUGGGCUUUUGGUGUGGUGCUAUGGGAAAUAUUCUCCUUCGCCCUCCAGCCCUAUUAUGGCUUGACCCAUGAGGAAGUGGUGAUGUUUGUCCAGGAGGGUAAUAUUUUGUCCUGUCCAGACCACACUCCCUUGUCCAUCUACAGCUUAAUGAAGAUUUGUUGGACCAGAAAGCCCAGCAGUAGACCUUCUUUCAAAUUCAUUUACAAAAAGUUGACAGACAUUCAUGAUGACAUGUCCAGAUACCAAGAAAAAGUUCGAAGAGCUCAUAUUUAGAGAACAAGGUUUACUCACACCCACAACACUCAGAUUGGUUUAGAGAACAAGGUUUACUCACACCCACAACACUCAGAGAACAAGGUUUACUCACACCCACAACACUCAGAUUGGUUUAGAGAACAAGGUUUACUCACACCCACAACACCAAGAUUGGUUUAGAGAACAAGGUUUACUCACACCCACAACACCAAGAUUGGUUUAGAGAACAAGGUUUACUCACACCCACAACACUCAGAGAACAAGGUUUACUCACACCCACAACACUUAGAUUGGUUUAGAGAACAAGGUUUACUCACACCCACAACACUCAGAUAGGUUUAGAGAACAAGGUUUACUCACACCCACAACACCCAGAUAGGUUUAGAGAACAAGGUUUACUCACACCCACAACACCCAGAUAGGUUUAGAGAACAAGGUUUACUCACACCCACAACACUCAGAUAGGUUUAGAGAACAAGGUUUACUCACACCCACGUGCUGAGAUUGGAUGUAAGAUUUAAUUAGUUUUAUAUUUCACGUGAAGGACGUUUUUCUCCAAUAGGUUGGAUGGAUCAUAUUUACGUGUAUUGUUCUGUAUUGAAAACGUCUUUCUUCUGAAAAUCUUAAUUUCCUAAUUUCAAACAAUCAUAUUGUUCCAGCAUCGCGUGAAACUUGUUACACCUUAAGAUCCUGUGUGGUGCACGAGAAAUCAAAAUAUUGAUUUGUCAACUAAAGAAAUGUCAAAUCCUAAGAGAAACGGUAAAUGAGAGACAAAACGGUUAUAUUUCAAGCAAAGAAACGUCUUUCUGUACUGCGUGAUAUUGUUUUUAUUGUUCUGUCGGAGUUGCUGUAGUGAGCAAAAUAAAAGUCUGUAGAAAACUACCAAGUGAUCGGAACCGUUCUUCCUAUGUGAAAGGGGUUUAACUGUGAAUAAUGUGACUUGUAUCUGCUCGAAAAAUAAUUACUUAACAAAAACUAAUCAAGAUACCAAAAGUACGUUAUCUCGAAAAAUUAUAAAAACCAAAAAAUAAUUAUCGGUUUUUUUUUAAUCUUAUUUUUUUAAACAGUAUUAUAAAAUUAUUCUAUAUUCCAAAGCCAUUUAAGUGAUGUUGUUUUAUUUUUAAAAACUUAAUGUAUUGUCCAGAACUUAUGCGACCACUUGACCACUAUCUUGUCUUCUUUCGGUCAAAGCGAUUUUUGUAAUGUUAUGUCGCUCAUCAACAAUGCUGUCACUUGGACGAGGUUCCAUCCUAAUUUCAGGGAUUACGUGAAGUUCAUUUGAAGUCGUGUACAUAUUCUCAUCAAGUAAGUUUUGUUCACUCUGCUUGAGUGAUAGUGUGGGCGUGUCUUCGGCAAAUCAUCUAUGAUGUCACAUGUGAUUAGAAUGUGCCAAUCCGGUAGGGUGUUUCGGUAAUCGCCAUGUAGUGUAUUUAUGAAGUGUGUGAUAAUUAUUCAUUUUUGACAAACACCAGUAUUGCUGUAACCGGAAAUUACAAUAUUUUAAAUUUAAAAGUAAAAUAUCUGCGCCCUUUUUUUUUUUUCUCAAUUUUUCAGUCCCGUCUGUAAAGUGUUAUUGUUCUUUAAACAGUUUAGGCCUUGGAGUUAUGUGCAGUUCAUCUAUUCAAAAAAUUUGUUUUGGCAUACGUGUUGAGUGCAGUACAUGUACAACAAAGGAAGUAUUAGGCCUUUACGUUUAUAUUAUAAAAUUGUGUUUAGGCCUAAACUUCGUGGGCAGUACGAGCGAGACAGUGUUUUUAAUGCGAUAUUGUAAUAUUCCAACGUAAAUAGCUUUUUUUUUACCGUAUAUCUUGUACUGUAUUGUAAAUGCGGGAUACCAGUUGCUCUGAACUGCAAAAUAUUGAAUAUAUUAGAAACCUCUAAUCGGUGACAUCGCUACGAUAUUCAACCACGAGGAUUGAGUAGUAGCAUAAUUUUUCUAAGAUAUUCCAUUUCGUUGUCACCAGAUGGCUCUCUCUCAUUUUUAUAUCAUCAGUGAGUCUAGUGUUCCGGAGUUCUUAUUAUCCUAGUAAUACCUGGUCACUGUCAGGGAAACAGUAUUCCUGGAUACCUAUACCACUGCGUCUAACGUCUGUUGUUCUGUGGGAAGUUUGAUACAUAUCAAAUAUAAACUUGAUAACAUUUCAAAUUUCCCGUGUUUUUGUGUGUAAUUUGUUAAAUUGUGAGGAUAACCAUCUAACGAAAACUAGUAUCAUUAGCUCAUUCUAACUUUCUCUGACUCAUGUUUGGAAUGAUAAAUAUAACCACAACUCUUCGACUAGGCUUUACUACUCAAUGAUGAU